UGAAGCCUUUUUUAGGCAAAUGUUGUAUCCCUACUAAGUGAUGCCCCGUUCGAUGAAGCCUACAUGGACGAGGGUGGACAAGACUUACAGAGGAAGCACAAGAUAUUGUUGUGCUCCAGACACCAAACUUAAACAAACCAGGAAGGCAGCUUUAGCCCCACCAAAGUCAAAGGGAUUUUCACAACCACACAAUCGUUAGCACGAUAAAGGCUUAAAAAGAAGAAUUUUGGAUAAUAAUGUAUUUAUUUUCAACAACUCAUAUCAGCACUGACUGAAUUACUCCAAAACUGAAGCUGAAUAGAAUCCAAUUCAAGAUGCUUUUAUGCUCCUAACAACAUCUUUGCAGUGAAAAAACGCAAUAUGAAAACAGACACUGUAUCGUACAAAGAGGGCCUGAAACUCUGCUGAACUUUUCCCACUAAAGAAUAACAUAGUGAGAUCUUGGAAAAGGAAGUGCUGCCCCCCGUUUCUCCACCUUAGUUUUCUUUUACCAAUUUCUCCUAAAGGCUUAGAGUGAAACCCCUGGAGCUGUAUGCGGAGUGGUGAAAACAGCAGCAUCCUCCAUUUCUUCAGUAUCUUUCAAGCAACAUCUUCUGUUUCUACAGUAUCUACCAAGGCCAUCAGAAUGUUUUUGAGUGGAAAAAGAAUAUGAAUUUUAGAUACUUCACAGACAUCUGAGAAACUGCAGAAGUUGCUCUAGAAACUAAGUAGGGAUUUGAUUUUCAGAGGUUCUGAUCUUCUGCUCAGGAAUUUAGAGCCUCCAGUGCCUCUAAUGAAUUUUAUUCUAAAUUAUUUUCUCAUAAUCACAAAGUCUAUGGCAGAUAAAAGAAUCAUGAUCUUGUGGUCCCUCAGAUGCUGUGAGUGUAAAACUCCACUUGUCCUUAGUGAAGCCCACAGGAUUUUUCUUGCUCACAUGAAGGCAGAAUUCAGAUGUAGGUAUGGGAAGAGAAAGAUAAGGAAAAAUCUUAAUCAAAAUAUAUAAGAAGCAGCUUUUGGAAGUGAUGGUCCUCGACAUCUUAUUUCUAAGCACCAAAUUUUUGUUUCUCCUUAAGAUGGUUUAGAAAAACAAAGCAAUAACUUUACUGGGCCAAAUUCAAUUGGCGAUUAUAUUUGCCUCUUCCACAGCUGCAAGUAACUGCAUCAAUUAUCUGAAGUAUAUUAAUGGAUUAGUUAAAACAAAACACAAUUGGUAAUAACUAUAAAGCCAAAAGCCUUUUGCCUAGUUAAUGUCUGGGCAGAUACAUUAAGUUACUGAAAAACAAGUGAGACAUGGAAAAACAUAAACUUAAAUAUGUAGCAUCCUCGAACAAUAUGCUUAUUGCUUAUUAAUUUUACUGAAGUGGUAUUACUGAUUAGUUUAAUAGAAAACAUCAUGAAUGAAAUUAUCAUAAACAGAAACCUAGAGUAAAUCCCUCAGCUACCUAGUUUUCUAUACUUGAAAAAAUAAAAUGAUUGACUGUGGGCUGAAAAAUGUAUGGCAGACUACUGACAGCAAAAGGAGCAUUUGAAAUGUGUCCUUUGUCCAUAAUACCAUUUCAGUAUAGGCAGCUUCUUGUUCGGUAUGAGCUGAUGUUUCUGGACCAUGCAAGAUACAAAAUUAUUAAAAAUUCUGAAUUAAAGUGUUUGCUUUUUUUUUUCCCAAGACAGAGUGGUAUCAGUAGUGGGGAUUCCCUGUGUCCAUUUGAAUAGCAAUUCAAUUAAUUGUUGCUAUAGAGAGGAUUUGUUGCAUGCUGGCCUCUUUAUAGAAUCAUCUAUGAAAUUGAGAUAAUUUUUUUUUUUUGCUUCACCCCCAGAAAGGUUUGUUUAUUUGGUGAAACCCAAAUCUGACUUUUUAUUCUGUUGUCCCUUCUGUCCUU